rnacentral:lncRNA from 1 species
AUGCCUGGAGUCUUGAGACUCCAGAACUGUAGAAGUACCAGCAUGCCAUGCCAGCCUGGAGAAGAUGAAGAGGAUCAAGAGAAUCGAGCAUUCCCCUGCUCUUCAGAGGAUACCACAUGCAAGGCACCAUCUUGGAAUCAGAGAAACUGGGCUCUAACCUAGGGACACCUUGAUCUUGGACUUUCCAGCCUCCAGAACUAUCAUGGAACCAUUUAUUAACACAGGAAGAGAUGAAGGAGAGAGGACUACUGUGGUUCUUUACUUCUUAAUCUGGCCCCAUCAAUAUCAAGCCCUGAUUUAAAACAGCAACAAAAAUAGAAAACAAAACCCAUGACAUAAAUGAAAUGUCUAAAUAGUGGCCAUAAAGCCAUACAGGAAAUGUCAUGAAGUAUUUGUUGAUCAAUAUUUAUAUAGCAGUUCAUAUUUGUUUUCAGAAUCAUGAAGAAAAAGGACAUAUUAAUAUUAAAAGAAAACAACUACCAGAAAAGGGUAUGUUUUUAUUAUAUUUAUUAACAUGAAGAACAUUACUUAGAGCAAAAUUCUUGUACAUAAACAAUUAGACUGCCUGAGCAAAAGGGGACCUAGAGUUUCAAAUUAUCUUGUAUAUUGAGACUAUUAUAAUGACUAUGAACCAGCAAAUCCUCUUAGACACCCAUUCUCCUCCAAUAUUUACAUUACUUUCCAAAUUUAAUUCUAAAAAUAACACUGAUUAGAAUCAUUCAUGAGCAAAAAUAAAAUAUAGAUGAAAUAUUUGUUUUAUAUU